rnacentral:rRNA from 1 species
UACGGAGGGUGCAAGCGUUAUCCGGAUUCACUGGGUUUAAAGGGUGCGUAGGUGGGUUGGUAAGUCCGUGGUGAAAUCUCCGAGCCUUAACUCGGAAACUGCCGUGGAUACUAUCAAUCUUGAAUACUGUGGAGGUAAGCGGAAUAUGUCAUGUAGCGGUGAAAUGCUUAGAUAUGACAUAGAACACCGAUAAGCGGAGCAGCUUGCUACACAGUCAUUGACACUGGAGGCACGAAAGCGAUGGGGAUCAAACCAGG